GGGGCGGAGCUGCGGAGCUGUGUCAGUGCGGAGCUGCGGGGCCGUGUCAGUGCGGAGCUGUGUCAGUGCGGAGCUGUGGGGCCGUGUCAGUGCGGAGCUGUGUCAGUGCGGAGCUGUGGGGCCGUGUCAGUGCGGAGCUGUGUCAGUGCGGAGCUGCGGGGCCGUGUCAGUGCGGGGCUGUGUCAGUGCGGAGCUGUGGGGCCGUGUCAGUGCGGAGCUGCGGUGCGGAGCUGCGGGGCGGAGCUGCGGGGCGGAGCUGCGGGGCCGUGUCAGUGCGGGACUGUUUUUCCAGGAGAGCUGAGACAUUUCCUGGGCUCCAGAGCAUCUCCAGCAGUGCACGACAUCGUUCCUGACAGUGUUCUCAACACGCUCCUGGUGACCA